rnacentral:rRNA from 1 species
AUGAACGCUGGCGGCGUGCCUAAUACAUGCAAGUCGAGCGAACAGACGAGGAGCUUGCUCCUCUGACGUUAGCGGCGGACGGGUGAGUAACACGUGGAUAACCUACCUAUAAGACUGGAAUAACUUUGGGAAACCGGAGCUAAUACCGGAUAAUAUAUUGAACCGCAUGGUUCAAUAGUGAAAGACGGUUUUGCUGUCACUUAUAGAUGGAUCCGCGCCGCAUUAGCUAGUUGGUAAGGUAACGGCUUACCAAGGCGACGAUGCGUAGCCGACCUGAGAGGGUGAUCGGCCACACUGGAACUGAGACACGGUCCAGACUCCUACGGGAGGCAGCAGUAGGGAAUCUUCCGCAAUGGGCGAAAGCCUGACGGAGCAACGCCGCGUGAGUGAUGAAGGUCUUCGGAUCGUAAAACUCUGUUAUUAGGGAAGAACAAAUGUGUAAGUAACUAUGCACGUCUUGACGGUACCUAAUCAGAAAGCCACGGCUAACUACGCG